rnacentral:tRNA from 4 species
GCCCCCGUAGCUCAAUGGUAGAGCGCGUCACUAGUAAUGACGAGGUUGACGGUUCGAUUCCGUUCGAGGGCA